UAGGCCUUGACAUACUAAGAACUUUCCAGAGAUGGAUUGGUGCCUUCGGGAACUUAGAUACAGGUGCUGCAUGGCUGUCGUCAGCUCGUGUCGUGAGAUGUUGGGUUAAGUCCGCAACGAGCGCAACCUUUUCCUAUUUGCCAGCGGGUAAUGCCGGGAACUUUAAGGAUACUGCCAGUGACAAACUGGAGGAAGGCGGGGACGACGUCAAGUCAUCAUGGCCCUUACGGCCAGGGCUACACACGUGCUACAAUGGUCGGUACAAAGGGUUGCUACCUCGCGAGAGGAUGCUAAUCUCAAAAAGCCGAUCGUAGUCCGGAUCGCAGUCUGCAACUCGACUGCGUGAAGUCGGAAUCGCUAGUAAUCGCGGAUCAGAAUGCCGCGGUGAAUACGUUCCCGGGCCUUGUACACACCGCCCGUCACACCAUGGGAGUUUGUUGCACCAGAAGUAGGUAGUCUAACCGCAAGGAGGACGCUUACCACGGUGUGGCCGAUGACUGGGGUGAAGUCGUAACAAGGUAGGCGUAGAUGA
rnacentral:rRNA from 1 species